AUUGAACGCUGGCGGCAGGCCUAACACAUGCAAGUCGAACGAGUGGCGGACGGGUGAGUAAUGUCUGGGAAACUGCCUGAUGGAGGGGGAUAACUACUGGAAACGGUAGCUAAUACCGCAUACCAUCGGAUGUGCCCAGAUGGGAUGAGCUAGUAGGUGGGGUAAAGGCUCACAUAGGUGACGCGCCCUAGCUGGUCUGAGAGGGUGACCAGCCACACUGGAACUGAGAAACGGUCCAGACUCCUACGGGAGGCAGCAGUGGGGAAUAUUGGACAAUGGGCGCAAGCCUGAUGCAGCCAUGCCGCGUGUAUGAAGAAGGCCUUCGGGUUGUAAAGUACGUUCAGCGGGGAGGCGUUACCCGCAGAAGAAGCACCGGCUAACUCCGUGCCAGCAGCCGCGGUAAUUC
rnacentral:rRNA from 1 species